AUUGAACGCUGGCGGCAUGCCUUACACAUGCGAGUCGAACGGCAGCACGGGUGCUUGCACCUGGUGGCGAGUGGCGAACGGGUGAGUAAUACAUCGGAACAUGUCCUGUAGUGGGGGAUAGCCCGGCGAAAGCCGGAUUAAUACCGCAUACGAUCUACGGAUGAAAGCGGGGGACCUUCGGGCCUCGCGCUAUAGGGUUGGCCGAUGGCUGAUUAGCUAGUUGGUGGGGUAAAGGCCUACCAAGGCGACGAUCAGUAGCUGGUCUGAGAGGACGACCAGCCACACUGGGACUGAGACACGGCCCAGACUCCUACGGGAGGCAGCAGUGGGGAAUUUUGGACAAUGGGCGAAAGCCUGAUCCAGCAAUGCCGCGUGUGUGAAGAAGGCCUUCGGGUUGUAAAGCACUUUUGUCCGGAAAGAAAUCCUUGGCUCUAAUACAGUCGGGGGAUGACGGUACCGGAAGAAUAAGCACCGGCUAACUACGUG
rnacentral:rRNA from 1 species